AGUGAACGCUGGCGGCGUGCUUAAUACAUGCAAGUCGAACGAUGAAGUCCUAGCUUGCUAGGAUGGAUUAGUGGCGCACGGGUGAGUAAUAUAUCGUUAAUCUGCCUUGCACUGAGGAACAACAGUUGGAAACGAUUGCUAAUACCUCAUACUCCAACUUUACAUAAGUUAAGUUGGGAAAGUCUUUUCGGUGCAAGAUGAGACUAUAUCGUAUCAGCUAGUUGGUAAGGUAAUGGCUUACCAAGGCUAUGACGCGUAACUGGUCUGAGAGGAUGAUCAGUCACAUUGGAACUGAGACACGGUCCAAACUCCUACGGGAGGCAGCAGUAAGGAAUAUUGUGCAAUGGGGGAAACCCUGACGCAGCAACGCCGCGUGGAGGAUGACACUUUUCGGAGCGUAAACUCCUUUUGUUAGGGAAGAAUAAUGACGGUACCUAACGAAUAAGCACCGGCUAACUCCGUG
rnacentral:rRNA from 1 species